AGUGAACGCUGGCGGUAGGCCUAACACAUGCAAGUCGAACGGCAGCACAGUAAGAGCUUGCUCUUACGGGUGGCGAGUGGCGGACGGGUGAGGAAUACAUCGGAAUCUACUUUUUCGUGGGGGAUAACGUAGGGAAACUUACGCUAAUACCGCAUACGACCUACGGGUGAAAGCAGGGGAUCUUCGGACCUUGCGCGAUUGAAUGAGCCGAUGUCGGAUUAGCUAGUUGGCGGGGUAAAGGCCCACCAAGGCGACGAUCCGUAGCUGGUCUGAGAGGAUGGUCAGCGACACUGGAGCUGAGACACGGUCCAGACUCCUACGGGGGGCAGCAGUGGGGAAUAUUAGACAAUGGGCGCAAGCCUGAUCCAGCCAUACCGCGUGGGUGAAGAAGGCCUUCGGGUUGUAAAGCCCUUUUGUUGGGAAAGAAAAGCAGCAGGUUAAUACCCCGCUGUUCUGACGGUACCCAAAGAAUAAGCACCGGCUAACUUCGUG
rnacentral:rRNA from 1 species